rnacentral:tRNA from 1 species
GGGCAUAGCUCAGUGAUAGAACACAUGCUUAGCAUACAUGAAGUCCUGGGUUCAAUUCCCAGUGUCUCCA